CAGCGCGGCGAUACGCCGACUGAGUGUCGAAUAAUCGAUCUUCAGCCGCUUCGCCGCCGCCGUCAUGCUGCCGGUGCGCGUGAUGGCCAGAAACGAUCGAACAAGAUUCCAGUCAAACUGGUCGGUCAUCGCAGUUGCUCUCAGUCAUCGCCGGCGAAACUUGGAACAUUGUGCCGGCCGGUCUUGGGUAAUCCAUAAGGAGCCUUCGGCCAAGGUUCAUCUGAUAGCCAAGACGGGGCGGGUGCCGCGCCAUAUUGACAGGGUUACCUCGGCUCGCCUCUACUCGCGACCGAACAGCAUCCGCGCCACCAGACGGCUGCAUAAGAAAAAGGAGAGACGCGAUGAAGAGUUUCAAGGUCA
rnacentral:misc_RNA from 1 species